CAAAUCUAGGGUUUACUUUGCCUUUCCCAUUUUAUAAUUUUCUGUUCAACAUGUUGGCUAUCAAAGCGUGAAAAUUUUUCCAAAAAAAUACAAAGGCCGGGGGUUUCAAACUGAGAGGGAACGGAAUUAUGUAUAAAGAUCGAGGAGGAGUUGCUGGUGGUUCAUCGAGAUCGGAGAUCGAACGAAAGCGCAUAAACGAUGCGCUGGACAAGCACCUAGAAAAGACAUCCCCUUCCACUUCACGUGCCUUGAGCAGUAAGGACAAAGAGAGAUUGUCCGUACCAUC
rnacentral:misc_RNA from 1 species